rnacentral:rRNA from 1 species
UACAGAGGGGGCAAGCGUUGUUCGGAAUUACUGGGCGUAAAGGGCGCGUAGGCGGCCUUCUAAGUCGAACGUGAAAUCCCCGGGCUCAACCCGGGAACUGCGUCCGAGACUGGAAGGCUCGAAUCCGGGAGAGGGAUGUGGAAUUCCAGGUGUAGCGGUGAAAUGCGUAGAUAUCUGGAGGAACACCGGUGGCGAAGGCGGCAUCCUGGACCGGUAUUGGACGCUGAGGCGCGAAAGCCAGGGGAGCAAAGCGG